rnacentral:lncRNA from 1 species
GGCGGACUGACUUUGUGUCAGCGGCUACCCUCGGCGUAUGAAGACAAGAUCGUCGAUUUUCAUCGAUUCGUGAUUAGGAUCCGGGAGGAAAAGAACUUCCUGCUCUCACAGAUUGGAAACGCGGAUCAAAUGCCGCUCAACUUUGACAUGCCUUCGAGCACAACUGUUGAACAAAAAGGUGUGCGGAGUGUGCACAUCAGGACAACAGGUGCCGAGAAGCAGAGGUGCACCGUCAUGCUCGCCGUAACAGCGGAUGGGCGGAAGCUGCCACCUUUUAUUGUUAAGGGGGGACGCGGGUCUUAGAAGGCCGAAAAUCGCGAAAAAAUCGACUCUUUGAAGCUGACAUUUUCGGAAUCUAUAUCUAUUUUUGCACAAAUCUGCUAAGUUUGUAGCUUCUAUUUUCAUUAUUUCCGCCGUAAAAUCAAUCUGUAACACCAAUAUGAGGUUUGUCUGAGCGCAAAUUGACGCUAAAAUCACGCUCUUUCCGCGCCGAACCGUUGCCGGUACACACGGGCUAUCGUGGCCAUCUUGAUCUCGUUUGGAAGAGCCGUUCUUCAUCUUCAAUUUCCUGCCACCGCUGGCUCGCCUUGCUCAUUGGUUUUCUAGCAAAAACGCGUCAUCGAGAAGUACAAGCGCGCGAUUCUAUUGGCUGCUUGGGGCACGUGACAAAAUCUAGGCAUCCGAUUCGCCAAGCGGCGUUUCCGGCGUCUGCUUCACCGCCGAGACGCGUGUGAGCGUGCGCCAUUUUGUCCUGGUGUUGU